CUGAACUGAUGCCGAGGCAGGCGUAAGCCUGGGGGAAUUACCUGUGAAAGCAGGCAGCUGCACUGAGUGCACCACUGAACCCUUCAACACCUCAACUGCACCCUCUCUGGCGCACAGGCAUCUUUCA
rnacentral:sRNA from 19 species